GACGAACGCUGGCGGCGUGCUUAACACAUGCAAGUCGAACGGACAGGGCCUGCUUUUGUGGGGUGCUCGAGUGGCGAACGGGUGAGUAACACGUGAGUAACAUGCACUUGACUUUGUGAUAACUUCUGGAAACUGGGGCUAUUACCGGGUAGGAGCUCUUGCAGCACGGUGGGGGUUGGAAAGAUUCGGCGGUUGGGGAUGGACUCGCGGCUUAUCAGCUUGUUGGUGGGGUAGGGGCUUUCCAAGGUUUUGACGGGUAGCCGGCCUGAGAGGGUGACCGGCCACAAUGGGACUGAGAGACGGCCCAGACGCCUACGGGAGGCAGCAGGGGAGAAUAUUGCACAAUGGGCGGAAGCCUGAUGCAGCGACGCCGCGUUCGUGAUGACGGCUUUCGGGGUGUAAACCGCUUUCGCCUGUGACGAAGCGUGAGUGACGGUAAUGGGUAAAGAAGCACCGGCUAACUACGUG
rnacentral:rRNA from 1 species